rnacentral:rRNA from 1 species
GUCUACAGCCAUGCUACCUUGAACAUGCCAGAUCCUAUCUGAUUUUGGAAGUUAAGCAGGGUCGGGCCUGGUUAGUACUUGGAUGGGAGACCAUCUAGGAAGGCCAGGUGCUACAGGCG